UGCAGUCGAGCGGACUUGAUGAGAAGCUUGCUUCUCUGAUGGUUAGCGGCGGACGGGUGAGUAACACGUAGGCAACCUGCCCUCAAGCUUGGGACAACUACCGGAAACGGUAGCUAAUACCGAAUACUUGCUUCCUUCGCCUGAAGGGAGCUGGAAAGACGGAGCAAUCUGUCACUUGAGGAUGGGCCUGCGGCGCAUUAGCUAGUUGGUGAGGUAACGGCUCACCAAGGCGACGAUGCGUAGCCGACCUGGAGAGGGUGAUCGGCCACACUGGGACUGAGACACGGCCCAGACUUCCUACCGGGA
rnacentral:rRNA from 1 species